rnacentral:rRNA from 1 species
AAGGCUUACGGUGUAUACCUAGGCACCCAGAGACGAGGAAGGGCGUAGUAAUUGACAAAAUGCUUGGAGAGUUGAAAAUAAGCAUAGAUCCGGAGAUUCCCGAAUAGGGCAACCUUUCAAACUACUACUGAAUCCAUGGGCAAUCAAGAGACAACCUGGCGAACUGAAACAUCUUAGUAGCCAGAGGAAAAGAAAGCAAAAGCGAUUCCCGUAGUAGCGGCGAGUGAAAUGGGAGCAGCCUAAAUCGUGAAAACGGGGUUGUGCAAGAGCAAUACAAGUGUCGUGCUGCUAGGCGAAGCAGCCCGAAUACUGCACCCUAGAUGGCGAAAGUCCAAUAAUCGAAAGCAUCACUAGCUUACGCUCUGACUCGAGUAGCAUAGGGCACAUGAAAUCCCGUGUGAAUCAGUAAGGACCACCUUGCAAGGCUAAAUACUCUUGGGUAAUCGAUAGCGAAGUAGUACCGUGAGGGAAGGGUGAAAAGAACCCCCAUCGGGGAGUGAAAUAGAACAUGAAACCGUAAGCUCCAAAGUAGUGGGAGGAGCCCAAGGCUCUAACCGCGUGCCUGUUGAAGAAUGAGCCGGCGACUCAUAGACAGUGGUUUGGUUAAGGGAACCCACCAAAACCGUAGCGAAAGCGAGUCUUCAUAGGGCAAUUAUCACUGCUUAUAGACCCGAACUUGGGUGAUCUAUCCAUGACCAGGAUGAACUUGGGUGAAACUAAGUGGAGGUCUGAACCGACUGAUGUUGAAGAAUCAGCGGAUGAGUUGUGGUUAGGGGUGAAAUGCCACUCGAACCCAGAGUUAGCUGGUUCUCCCCGAAAUGCAUUGAGGCGCAGCAGUUGACUAGACAUCUAGGGGUAAAGCACUGUUUCGGUGCGGGCCGCAAGAGCGGUACCAAAUCGAGGCAAACUUUGAAUACUAGAUAUGAUCUCAAAAUAACAGGGGUCAAGGUCGACCAGUGAGACGAUGGGGGAUAAGCUUCAUCGUCGAGAGGGAAACAACCCGGAUCACCAGCUAAGGCUCUUAAAUGACCGCUCAGCGAUAAAGGAGGUAGGGAUGCAGAGACAACCAGGAGGUUUGUCUAGAAGCAGCCACCCUUGAAAGAGGGCGUAAUAGCUCACUGAUCGAGCGCUCUUGUGCCAAAGAUGAACGAGGCUAAACGAUCUGCCGAAAUUGUGGGAUGUAAAAAUACAUCGGUAGGGGAGCGUUCUGCCUUAGAGAGAAGCCUCCGCACGAGCAGUGGUGGAUGAAGCGGAAGUGAGAAUGUCGACUUGAGUAACGCAAACAUUGGUGAAAAUCCAAUGCCCUGAAAACCUAAGGAUUCCUUCGUAAGGUUCGUCCAUGGGGGGUGAGUCAGGGCCUAAGAUCAGGCCGAAAGGCGUAGUCGAUGGACAACAGGUGAAUAUUCCUGUACUACCGUUUAUCAGUCUCGAGGGACGGAAGAAGCUAGAUUAAUCGAAAGAUGGUUAUCGGUUCAAAAACGUAAGGUGCCCCUUUUUUUCAGUGUAAGAAAGGGUAGAGAAAAUGUCUCAAUCCAAUGUUCGAGUACCAGACGCUACGGCGCUAAAGUAACCCAUGCCAUACUCCCAGCAAAAGUUCAAAAGACUGUAAACAAAAAGGUACCUGUACCCGAAACCGACACAGGUGGGUAAGUAGAGAAUACCUAGGGGCGCAAGACAACUCUCUUUAAGGAAUUCGGCAAAAUAACCCCGUAACUUCGAGAGAAAGGGUGCCUCCUCACAAAGGGUGUCGCAGUGACCAAGCCCGAGCGACUGUUUACCAAAAACACAGGUCUUCGCAAAGUCGCAAGACUAUAUAUGAGGGCUGACGCCUACCCAGUGCCAAAAGGUCAAAGAAGUUGGUGACCUAAUAACAGGGAAGUCGGCGACCGAAGCACUGGUGAAGGGCGACCGUAACUAUAACGGUUCUAAGGUAGCGAAAUUCCUUGUCGAGUAAGUUCUGACCCGCACGAAAGGCGUAACUGUGACUACCUCAUCUCUCCCUAAGGCGUACCCUAGGGUUUAGCGGAUCGCUUGCCUAACUCUCAUCAGGACUCACUCACUCAUUUCAAAUAGAAUAGUUUUCAACCUCAAGAGUAAAUGAAAUAACAGUUCCCAAAUUUGGAAUGUACAUGUACAUUCAUUUCUAUCUCAACCAUUCAUACAUAUCCAAAUAUAACAAGAGUUUCAAAUUCUAGUUGUACUUUUAACCCUAAUCGAGCACUAGCGCUAGUAGAAUUACAAACGUUAAAAAUCUAGACAAAACUAGCCUUUCUAACUUCACGCCUAUGUUCGUACCCCCUGUAAGGAAAACAAAACUAAAGGAAUGAGUUAAAAGUCCAGUGAGGUUCCAAAACUUCAUGCAGACUCAAGUAGCAAGUUGUUCAUAUGUAAAAACUUGGAAUAUUCAAGUAGCGAGUAUAAGAGUUCAAAUAAUUGAGCAAAACACUUCACAUAGAUAUCCAAUAUUUUCAAGUAAAAGGAUACGUGCUCCCUUGGAGCCAUUCAUUCGCCAACCAUUUUCCUUAUCCUUCCAAUAUUAGAAAACGUUUUUAUUUGCAAAUGAAAACUCUUUCAGUGUUCUUGACAUUUAUUCAUUAAUUUCAUUUCUCGCCACUAGCCAAUUCACUGGCCAGUUCUCCACCAAUCUUCGUGGUCAUAUUCGAGUAUACCAAAACACUGUUCCAAGGUCACCAGCCGCCCAACCGAGUCCACUUCUAGCUCGAGUCAACUAGCAACGAAGGGCAAGGCUCCAAUUCAGCCAAAAGGGCUUACAUCAUGCACAAGAAGCAUUCAAUCAUUGA